rnacentral:rRNA from 1 species
CCAAUAGCGUAUAUUAAAGUUGUUGCAGUUAAAAAGCUCGUAGUUGAAUUUCGGGAUUGACACAUCGGUCGUGCCUUAAGGGGUAUGAACUGGUGUAGUCAAUUUCUCACCUUCUGGAGAACCACGAUGCCCUUAAUUGGGUGUCGCGGGGAACCAGGACCUUUACUUUGAAAAAAUUAGAGCGUUUAAAGCAGGCAUUUUGCUUGAAUACAUUAGCAUGGAAUAAUAAAAUAGGACGGCAUGAUUCUAUUUUGUUGGUUUCUAGGAUCACCGUAAUGAUUAAUAGGGAUAGUUGGGGGCAUUAGUAUUCAAUUGUCAGAGGUGAAAUUCUUGGAUUUAUUGAAGACUAACUACUGCGAAAGCAUUUGCCAAGGAUGUUUUCAUUAAUCAAGAACGAAAGUUAGGGGAUCGAAGACGAUCAGAUACCGUCGUAGUCUUAACCAUAAACUAUGCCGACUAGGAAUCAGACGAUGCUAAUUUUUUAAUGACUCGUUUGGCACCUUACG